rnacentral:rRNA from 1 species
GACGAACGCUGGCGGCGUGCUUAACACAUGCAAGUCGAACGGUGAUGACAGGGCUUGCCUUGUCGGAUCAGUGGCGAACGGGUGAGUAACACGUGAGUAACCUGCCCCAGACUCUGGGAUAACCCCGGGAAACCGGAGCUAAUACCGGAUAGGACCCUUGCACGCAUGUGCUGGGGGUGGAAAGUUUUUGGGUGGGGGAUGUGCUCGCGGCCUAUCAGCUUGUUGGUGGGGUAAUGGCCUACCAAGGCUUCGACGGGUAGCCGGCCUGAGAGGGUGACCGGCCACACUGGGACUGAGACACGGCCCAGACUCCUACGGGAGGCAGCAGUGGGGAAUAUUGGACAAUGGGCGGAAGCCUGAUCCAGCAACGCCGCGUGAGGGAUGACGGCCUUCGGGUUGUAAACCUCUUUCAGCACCGACCAAGCGAUCCUUUUGGGGAGUGACGGUAGGUGCAGAAGAAGGACCGGCCAACUACGUGCCAGCAGCCGCGGUAAAAC